rnacentral:rRNA from 1 species
GACGAACGCUGGCGGCGUGCUUAACACAUGCAAGUCGAACGGAAAGGCCCUGCUUUUGUGGGGUGCUCGAGUGGCGAACGGGUGAGUAACACGUGAGUAACCUGCCCUUGACUUUGGUAUAACUUCAGGAAACUGGGGCUAAUACCGGAUAGGAGCUCCUGCUGCAUGGUGGGGGUUGGAAAGUUUCGGCGGUUGGGGAUGGACUCGCGGCUUAUCAGCUUGUUGGUGGGGUAGUGGCUUACCAAGGCUUUGACGGGUAGCCGGCCUGAGAGGGUGACCGGCCACAUUGGGACUGAGAUACGGACCAGACUCCUACGGGAGGCAGCAGUGGGGAAUAUUGCACAGUGGGCGGAAGCCUGAUGCAGCAACGCCGCGUGCGGGAUGACGGCCUUCGGGUUGUAAACCGCUUUCGCCUGUGACGACGCGUGAGUGACGGUAAUGGAUAAAGAAGCACCGGCUAACUACGUG